rnacentral:tRNA from 1 species
GCGUUGGUGGUAUAGUGGUUAGCAUAGUUGCCUUCCAAGCAAUAGGCCCGAUUUCGAUUAUCGGCCAUCGCA